rnacentral:rRNA from 1 species
AGACAGCAGCAGCCGCGGGAAUACGUAGGGUGCGAGCGUUAAUCGGAAUUACUGGGCGUAAAGCGUGCGCAGGCGGUUAUAUAAGACAGAUGUGAAAUCCCCGGGCUCAACCUGGGACCUGCAUUUGUGACUGUAUAGCUAGAGUACGGUAGAGGGGGAUGGAAUUCCGCGUGUAGCAGUGAAAUGCGUAGAUAUGCGGAGGAACACCGAUGGCGAAGGCAAUCCCCUGGACCUGUACUGACGCUCAUGCACGAAAGCGUGGGGAGCAAACAGGAUUAGAUACCCCUGUAGUCCCUGUCUCUUAUAC